rnacentral:rRNA from 1 species
GCCUAUAGCCAUUCUACUCUGAAUCUGCUUCAUCUCAUCUGAUCAAGAAAAUCAAGCAAGGUGGGGCCUGGCUAGUAUUUGUAGGGGAGACCACUUGGUAUCCAGGUGGCUUAGUGG